CCUACGGGAGGCAGCAGUGGGGAAUCUUGCGCAAUGGGCGAAAGCCUGACGCAGCAACGCCGCGUGGGGGAUGAAGGCCCUCGGGUCGUAAACCCCUUUCAGCAGGGACGAAAUUGACGGUACCUGCAGAAGAAGCCCCGGCCAACUACGUGCCAGCAGCCGCGGUAACACGUAGGGGGCGAGCGUUGUCCGGAAUUAUUGGGCGUAAAGAGCUCGUAGGCGGUUUGGUAAGUCAGAUGUGAAAGGUUAGGGCUCAACCCUAAGAUUGCAUCCGAUACUGCUAUGACUAGAGUCCGGUAGAGGAGUGUGGAAUUCCUGGUGUAGCGGUGAAAUGCGCAGAUAUCAGGAGGAACACCGACGGCGAAGGCAGCACUCUGGGCCGGUACUGACGCUGAGGAGCGAAAGCGUGGGUAGCAAACAGGAUUAGAUACCCUGGUAGUCCACGCCGUAAACGUUGGGCACUAGGUGUGGGGCCUUAUCAACGGGUUCCGUGCCGUAGCUAACGCAUUAAGUGCCCCGCCUGGGGAGUACGGCCGCAAGGCUAAAACUCAAAGGAAUUGACGG
rnacentral:rRNA from 1 species